AACACGUAUGCAACUUGCCCAUAACUUGGAAAUAGCCCGAAGAAAUUCGGAUUAAUGUCCAAUAAUAUGAGUGUACCACAUGGUACUCUUUUUAAAGAUUAAUCGGUUAUGGAUAGGCAUGCGUUCUAUUAGGUAGUUGGUGAGGCAACGGCUCACCAAGCCAACGAUGGAUAGGGGAACUGAGAGGUUGAUCCCCCACACUGGUACUGAGACACGGACCAGACUCCUACGGGAGGCAGCAGUGAGGAAUAUUGGUCAAUGGACGAAAGUCUGAACCAGCCAAAUCGCGUGAAGGAAGAAAGUAUUAUGUAUUGUAAACUUCUUUUGUAAGGGAGUAAAGUG
rnacentral:rRNA from 1 species